rnacentral:rRNA from 1 species
GAUGAACGCUGGCGGCGUGCCUAAUACAUGCAAGUCGAGCGAACAGACGAGGAGCUUGCUCCUCUGACGUUAGCGGCGGACGGGUGAGUAACACGUGGAUAACCUACCUAUAAGACUGGGAUAACUUCGGGAAACCGGAGCUAAUACCGGAUAAUAUAUUGAACCGCAUGGUUCAAUAGUUAAAGUCGGUUUUGCUGUCCCUUAUAGAUGGAUCCGCGCCGCAUUAGCUAGUUGGUAAGGUAACGGCUUACCAAGGCAACGAUGCGUAGCCGACCUGAGAGGGGGAUCGGACACACUGGAACUGAGACACGGUCCAGACUCCUACGGGAGGCAGCAGUAGGGAAUCUUCCGCAAUGGGCGAAAGCCUGACGGAGCAACGCCGCGUGAGUGAUGAAGGUCUUCGGAUCGUAAAACUCUGUUAUUAGGGAAGAACAAAUGUGUAAGUAACUAUGCACGUCUUGACGGUACCUAAUCAGAAAGCCACGGCUAACUACGUG